rnacentral:lncRNA from 1 species
UUUUAGAUUCCUGUCUGUGUUCCUUCAUCUUCAGGAAUAAGAAUGUUCCUUUCCUCCACUGUUGAUCAAUCCAAACUCAGACACCGUGAAAGUAAAAAGGACUUUAUUUGGGAGUCUUAGGAAUUGAAAUUUGGAAAAUACAGAUUCACGUAGCUCUAAAUCAGAGAAAAAAAAUCUUUUUUUGUUCCCAAAAAAGGCAGGGAUAGUGAGACAGCUUAUUAUUGUUGUUGAUUUAUUACAAGACAGUAGUAAUUCUUUUAUAGGAAACAUCUAUUAGAAUUGAAAAUAGUGCUGUGUGACAGGUACUACGUGACUGAGAAAAGAUAAAGAAAAGAAUGUAUAUAUAUUUAGUAAAAAUGUCCAUAAAACAAGAGUCUGAGAACCUCUUGAUAAAUAGUCCUGGGUAUGUCACCAGUUCCAUGGGUUCUUAGACUCUCUAUCAGAAAAAUCAGAGGAAUAAGCCACUUUGUUCUCAUGCUUGAGCACAAGGAAGGCAGUCUGUCAGGGACAGAAAACUCAGGCUUGCUGAAACGAAAGGACAGAUAAGGGUCACUUUUUAAUACUUCUGAGGUAGGCAAGUACCCAUUCUCUUGACUUCGUCACCAAGUGGAAGUCACGUUUCAGAUGCCUCUGUGCUCUUUCUUAUCAUGCCUUUUCUUGCCAAGCUUGUCCAUUAUCAUCUUAGGUCUCUGCCCUCCUCUGAUUUUUACUAUGCUAAUGGAGUAAAGCUAACUAUAGGUUAUUUUAGUGACUAUUCUGUGCAUAACCUUGCCUUCACCUUAUGAGGAACACCCUAAUAUUGUUUCAAAGCAAGUUAAUAUUGGAAUUAAUGACCUACAUUGGUUGGGUCAAGAAGUCAUAAAUAUGAUACACACUGCUGCCUCCUUUCUAAUCUUUUAUCUACAUAGUCCUAAAAUCUUAUAGGCAAUAGAUUAUAUUUUAGAAAAGCAAAAUAAUGUAUGUUUACUUUUUCUGUAAAUCUGAUAGAAAUCUUGAGGUCAUAUAUAUGAAGUUUUGAAACUAACUAUGACUGAGGCUGAGGAUAUGGCUCAGUAGUAGAGCCCUUGCCUGAAUAUGACAAGAUUCCCUCACUUGAUUGAUACUAAUUCUGCAGACUGGAAUGAGGAGGAGGAGACAAUUAGCUUUCAAAUGAGGUAGAAUACAGGGAGUGCUGAGGAAAGGAGUAAGGUAAGUGCUUUAGGAAGUCAGAAGAAAGAUGAAGUUAAUGCUAUUGAGGGAAUCAGAAGAGAUCUUUUGGGAAAAUUUCAAGAAAAGGAGUAAUGACUGAAAUUUUAAAGAAUGAUAAUGAUAAUGACAACAAUUAACCUUUGUUAAUUAGGUACACUUUGGUGCUGUGUGGUGGGGGUCUGAGGCUGGAAUGAGGGACAAUUUUGGAAAAGCAAUUUGAAUCCAAAUGUAAAGUCUUGAAUAACACCCUGGGACCCAGCAAUAGAUAUGCAAAUCUUUGCAAAUCUUGAUUGACAAAAACUACCAAAGUCACUCCCCUCCCCCUUAUGUCCUACAUUCCUCUUCUCAGCCUAGUGUUUUCAUGCUCUGGACACUCUAAAGAAUUUAGUUGCCCUUCAACCUCCCAUUUUUCAUAAAUAUCAGAAAAAAAAUACACAGUAUUCCAUAUGUGUAUAUCAAUAUUACAUUGUUACAAAAGAGUAUGUAAAAGGUUUUCUUGUGUUGGUGGUGAUAUUAGAAUUUCUUUGGGGAGGUUUCAGAUACCCAUUAGAAAAAUAUCAAUAAUUUUCUUAACCCAAAAUUCAUUCUGAUCCUGUUCUCCAUUUUGAUUCCAUCUUCAGUUACUUCUCCCAUUACUCCCAUCUGUCUCUUUCACACCCAGCAACAGUUCCUUUUCCUCAUUUAGGUGACCACAGUGCAUUUAAUUGGCCCCCCAGCUAUUCUACAUCCCUCAGAUAGAGACAGGAUUCAUUAAAACCUCAACUACUGCAAUCUCUUAUCUUAAAUUCUUCCUGCUCUACAAAGGGAAAAUUUGCUUAAAUCCAAAAAUUAUCUGAUUAGAACUAUUCCAAACCAUUUUUAAAAAAUGCUAAAUAAGACUGAUUUUAACACCAAAUUAUUAAGAAAUCAACCUUGGAACUUUUCAUUUAUCUUUUCCAUUUAGUUCCUUUCUCCAGGCCAACUUUCAGUUUUGGACAAAUUCUCACUCCCUUCCCUGUCAUAGUUCUGUAGUACCUUUUUAGGAAAAACUGUAAUAUCAGAUCUUUGUCCUCUUUCUCCACAUUUUCUCCUUCAAAAAAUUUAAAUAAAUCAAUCAUAAAUUUCUUUUUGCUCCAUGGGUGCUUUUCCCCCCCUACUUGGCAAUCUUAUCACAUAAUAUCCACUAGCUUUGUAAUGUAAAAAAAAAAAAAAAAAAGGUUAAGGCAAAUUACCUGAGAGUCAAUUUCACUGUCUGUGAAAAAGGCCACCCAACAACUCUGUUGGUUAAGUUAGGACCCCUAACACAGCCAGCAGAUGAUAAUCACUGUCAGUUCUGCCCUGGCCAGAUCACAGGUUCCUCUUUUUCAAUAUGCCUGCCUGUCUGCUGAUCCUUCAAAACUGGAUUAGGUAUGUCUUCAAUUAUCAGAUUGUUACCAAAAAGUUGCAUUGUCUUCUCAGCUCUCAUGUCUUUGUGAGAGAAGAUUUCAAGCAAGAUACGAGGUGUAGUAAAAACAUAGCAACGAUAAUUAGAAGAGAAAGUGGAGAGUGGAGAUAUACCUUCAAGGCAGAGAAUGGGUCAUCUCAAAGAGGCAAUCAACAAUUUACUUCUUAGUGAGUUCAGUUUUUAUUGUGAUUGAGAGAAGUUUCUAAGCUCUUUUGUAUUGUCUCACACAUGAGCUUCAAGAGGAUACUUCAUAUCUAAAGCAUAACACUUCUCAUUAUGUGAUGCUGGUCUUCAUCAGAGUGUUACCUACUGCUGUUGACCUUGCUUCCCCAAUGUUGAAGAAUAACACCAGAGAAGCACAGCGAGGCAAGGUCAGAGUAGAAAUUAGAAGUUUAUUAAAGGACAGCAGAAAAGACUUCUCCCGGAGGAAGAAGGGGACCCAAGAGGUGGAAUCCAUAGAAGUGCAGUUGUCUCUCCAUUUUAUAGUUCUUUUAGUGAUGGAAUAUAGGUUGGAAGGCCCUAGGGGUGGGACACAGGUGGGCCAAAGAAGUAAUCUGGGCAGGAAGGACUUCAUUAACACUUCUUUAGGAUGGGCUGUCUUCAAAUCAGCUGGGACUGUUCAUUAACAUUUCUUUGGGAUGGACUUUGGGCCUAGGGCUUUUCUUGGGACUUCAUUAAUAUUUCAAGAGUUGCUCAACUUUUCCGGAAAUUCAUUCUCAACAUGGCCUCCAUUUCAGAUUUCACUUUAUGUUAGACCCGAUUUACCUAACUACAUUGACUGCCUAAUUUUAAAUCUGGCUUCAAGAGUACACUGUCUCAGGUCUUAAGGUUUACAGGAGGAAUAGGAUACCCAAAAUGGAAAGGAAGACUACAACUUCAUACAAAACUUCCUCAAUAAUUAAUUCCUUUGUGCCUUUAAGAUUGGAAAAAGAUUUCUCACAAGAAGUCAGUAACUAUUAAAAGUAAAAAAGUAGAAAUGAGCUCCAGAAAAUUUUUAUGUUUAAAAAUUUACCCAUACUUCAGAAACUAGGUUACUAGGGGACAGGGGAGGAGAGGAAAAGAUUCAUUAAAACCCUUUUCUAAUCCAG